rnacentral:lncRNA from 1 species
UCGCCCCCUCGCCUCUCGGGGUGGGGGAGAGGUGGCUUAACCCUUCCUGGGAGGACGCCCGCCGCGCGCGGGCUCCAUUCCACCCAGGCCCGGGCGGAUUCGCGAGGUGCUUCCGGCCUGAGGCUUAGACCUGGACGUCCAAGCCUGGGGAACGGCGGCCGCGUGCCCGGCCCCGCUUACUCUAGGCAGUUAACACACUCUCGGCACCGGGCCGGGGCCGGGGGCACCUCGGGCAGUGAGUCAGGCACCACCCUUGCCCCAGGCAGCUUGCCGUCGGGCCGGGGUAAUGACAGUCAUGAGACCGGCGAUGCAGAGUGUCAAGGUUGAAGAAUGGGAGGCAGGCAGUUUUUCUUCUCCUACAUCAGCGCUCAACUCCCCCUUCCUCCCCACCCCUUUUAGGUCCAGGAUCGUCUACCAGCACGCACAGGCAACAGAGCUGGCUUUAUCUCAGCCAUAAGCCAAGGGAGUAAUGCAUUCAAUGGGCCUGCGGCUCUGUCUCUUGCUCCGACACUGGAUGGAACAGACUCUCUCUUCCAGGCUCUGACUGCCUUCCAAUAAAAAUUAAAAUAAAGAAACCAGGCCGGACGCGGUGGCUUAUGGCUGUGAUCCCAGCACACUGGAAGGCCGAGGCGGGCGGAUCACCUGAGGUCAUGAGUUCGAGACCAGCCUGGCCAACGUGGUGAAACCCUGUCUC